CAACGGACGGGCGCCGUGAUUUAAUCGGCGUCCCCGGUCUCCUAGCGACCGUUUCGAAUGUUUGGAGUGGAUCGCUCGAGAGCGGCAGCUGGAGAAGCCUGGAGGAGAAGUACAGAACCAAUAGCAGGGUCAGUUAAUGAGACAUCAGAUGGAGCAGCUCCAACAAUUGAUGGAACAGCAGCAGAAACUUAUCAAGUUGCUCUCACUACCUAUGGCCAACCAAGGUUUUACUUUGCCGAUAGGAUUCUCAUCUCCAUUGACUAGUCUCUCUGCAGCCUUGUCUCCAGGGAUCAACGCAACUGCUUUUCAGUUCUCUGGCUCUUCUGCUAAUGAAAAUUCUUCAAACACAAAAGGAUCAUUUUGCAUUCCAUUAGUCCAAAUAAUCCAAUCCCCAGCACAGGAAAGUGUAUCUGCAUC